UACGUAGGGGGCAAGCGUUGUCCGGAUUUAUUGGGCGUAAAGAGCGUGUAGGCGGCCUGACAGGUCUGCUGUGAAAACUCGAGGCUCAACCUCGAGAUGUCGGCGGAAACCGUCUGGCUAGAGUCCGGAAGAGGAGAGUGGAAUUCCUGGUGUAGCGGUGAAAAUGCGCAGAUAUCAGGAAGAACACCUAUGGCGAAGGCAGCUCUCUGGGACGGUACUGACGCUGAGACGCGAAAAGCU
rnacentral:rRNA from 1 species